rnacentral:lncRNA from 1 species
GCCCUUUUCUCAUAUCCCACAAAGGAGAACUUGAUCAUUUUUUUUCAAAGGCAAGAUUCAUAAGUUAGGUACGACUCUGAAUCAAAAGAGCCAAGGAUCCUAUCUAUUUCUAGUUUGUUUAUCCUGUCUUCUUCAAUAUAGUCUAGUCUAUGAUGCCAUAAGUACUUUUGAUUAAUUUCAUCUUUGGAUCUCUUUUGACCUACAGCACUCA